UUAAAUUAGUUUUUUGUGUUAGAAAAAUUCCCGAGGCGGUAUACUCAGGCGACAAUUUAUCCAAGCUAAUUUUUGUGUAACUAGCCAAACGCUACUCGUGAGAUUAUCUCUUCGGCCCGUCCCCAAACCAUGGGAAGAAAAAUACAGGGAUUUUGGAGAAAAAAAUACGGUGUUUUUAGAGCGAAACACACAUUUGACAAUCUACGUAAGUUCAACGAGGACCAAAAAAUUAGGAAAUUCCGAGAAGUUAUCAAAUGCGCCGGCGCCGCGGAGGUAGUCGGAGAUUAUCUCUUCGGACAGGGCCCGCCGGCGGGGGAGAAGACGCCGACGGGGACGGCGGUGCGAGGCGGCGGAGCGAGGAGGCCUUCUUGAAGAGGCCCCUGCGCCUCUCCUUGUACGCCACGAUUCCCUCGGCCGAAGAGAUGAUCUCUGACUACUUCGGCGGCGGCGGCGACGGCGACGGAGGUGGUGCCGCCGAUGGGUGUGACCGAGUAGGUUGGACUGGAUUGAGGCUGAGUGGGAUUCUGGCGCGACGGAGCAGCAGGACGUGGAGUCCCUGAUCUGCGAAGUAUGACACCGUUCGUGAUUUUGUACGCAAACAAAUUGGAAAGAUUUGGAGAAGGAUUCGUCUUGCGAUGAUCGGUGCGGGUGGCGAUUCCGGAGCUGGGUUUGGUUGUAAUUCUGAAAUUUCGGCCGAUCAGGAAAUGGGUUCCGUUUUCGAGAGCUUUAAAGCUCGUUGCCCGGCUCUCUUCGAGGACUGCGUUGGAGAUGGCGACGGUUUAUCGACUUUGCCGGAGAGCUUGGCCAUCGGCGGUGGAAUCUCGGAAGAGGAGUCGAUGCUCCGUGAUCUUGAGGGCUAUGGAUAUAAUCCCAACCACUUUCUUACACUUGAAAAUUUGGAUGUUCCUCUGCGAUGUAAAUGUGAAAUGCAUCUGAUUUUUCUUAUUGAACUGCAUGGUCCAUAAUACAUGUUGUGGGUCGCGUUCAAAUUCGUCUUUUUUCGGAUGAGAAAAGCAUCAUUUAGUCAGUUGCUUUGUGGGUAAGGUCGGGGAUAGGAUGGAAAUUCAUGAUUUGUUGCUAGCUUGUAAAAGAGAAGAGCUUUGAUUUAGACUGUCUUAUUAUGGCGAUGAAUUGACUAUCUUGGAUGAUGAAUGGCAAUGCCAGUGAAUGUGAAACUUUCCCUGUCUGUACAGUAUUAUUGUUCAUGAGAUCUGAUAGUUUAUACCACUAAUUACCAAUUCAUUGACGAGUUAUGUGGGAGAAACUUAAAAAUAGUUUUGGAGAUAGUGGUUUUAAAACUGUACUUACAACUGUGAUGCAUGUUUCAAGAGGACAUUGAGUGAGUUGUUCUGCAUCUAUUUCAUAUCGGGUAGUAUGAAUAAGGUAAAGUUUCUGAAGGAAAACAAUUAAAAGCAGUGAUUUGGUAGUCCUGUUGUAUUUGCAAUUCCUUUCUUUCUUAUCUCGUUGGAGACAGAUGAGCUUUCCUCACUUGCAUCUUUCUCACUGGGCUUUGGCAUAGACAUAAGAUUGGGAUAAUCUUGUUUGCUUGACCUGCCUUCAUAAUAAUUGCCUAGACUCUUGUAGGCAUCUUAAUGAUGAAGAUCAUCAGAUUCUUUAUCAUGGUAAUUGGUUGCUUAUUUUACUAUCAAAGGUCUGUCUUUCAAGGGGUCCACCAAGUUCCAUCAUUGAAGGUAUAUCAUUGAAAGCAAGAUAGUUGUGCUUGUAUAUUGCAGAUGAUAAAGCGACUGUAUUGGAGUCAGAGAAGUGGGCUUGGGAGAAUUUGCCGGAAGCGCAGGCUGUAAGAGAAGCUCUUACUCCUUGGAGAAAUUGUGACGCAGAAAGGAGAAUUCACAUUGCCGCCAUUGUUGGGUUUGUCCCUGGAAAUGAUGUAAAACUACGCCAGACAUCCAUCUGCACAUUGCUUGUCUCUGUCCUGGAAUGAAUUUGGAAUAUCCUGGAUAUGUUUUGAGGCGAUUUUGUGUUUGGCUGCUUGGCAUUUAAUUUCCUGUUCAGUGAGUCAUAUCUUCCUGUACAUGAGUUUUGGAAAUUAUGCAUUCUCUUCGCAUUGUUCGGUGAUUCAGACUUUACACUUGAAGAAACAGGGGUACUUACAGAGAAUUUCCAGUCAUGGCAUUGGUCAAUGACCAAUCUUACUUGGGCUGAUAUGCAGACUUAGUUCGAUGUGCAAAAGCUGAUGAAUGGUAUAACUUGAUUGUAUCCUUAUCACUCUGCAAAUGUGUGAAAGAAAAGUCGCAAUGUCUGCACUAUUCUUUCACGUUCACAUCGAUUUGAAGUUGUCUCUUUUCUUCUAAUCAUGUGAGCAAUGAGUGUGUUGCAAGCAGAGAGUUUAUUGAUUAGAUGCUACUGAUCAUUCGGAUAGCCCGUUUCUGGGGCAAGAAUGGAUCUUUGCUUAAGAUAGGAGAAAUAGGAAGGUCGCCGCAAUCAUUUAAUGUGAGGUCAUACUCUUUCGUGGAAAGAGUAAGAUCAAAAUCAAUAAGAGUGACAUUAUGAACUUA